GACAGAGGGGGCAAGCGUUGCUCGGAAUUACUGGGCGUAAAGGGCGCGUAGGCGGGAUGGCAAGUCGGUCGUGAAAUCCUUCGGCUCAACCGAAGAACGUCGAUCGAUACUGCUGUUCUUGAGGGUUGCAGAGGAGACUGGAAUUCCCGGUGUAGCGGUGAAAUGUGUAGAGAUCGGGAGGAACACCGGUGGCGAAGGCGGGUCUCUGGGCAAUUCCUGACGGCUGAGGCGCGAAAGCGUGGGGAGCAAACGGG
rnacentral:rRNA from 1 species